AAAAAAGGUCGGUUUUGUUUUGCUUCUUGUUGCUUCUUGUUUGUUUGUUUGUUUGUUUUUUGAAUAAUCACUGUGUUUAAUUCAAAACAUGAAAGGG
rnacentral:ribozyme from 14 species